UACGGAGGAUGCGAGCGUUAUCCGGAUUUAUUGGGUUUAAAGGGUGCGUAGGCGGGCUUUUAAGUCAGCGGUAAAAAUUCGGGGCUCAACCCCGUCCGGCCGUUGAAACUGGGGGUCUUGAGUGGGCGAGAAGAAGGCGGAAUGCGUGGUGUAGCGGUGAAAUGCAUAGAUAUCACGCAGAACCCCGAUUGCGAAGGCAGCCUUCCGGCGCCCUACUGACGCUGAGGCACGAAAGUGCGGGGAGCAAACAGG
rnacentral:rRNA from 1 species